UACGGGGGGGGCAAGCGUUGUUCGGAAUUACUGGGCGUAAAGGGCUCGUAGGUGGCCAACUAAGUCAGACGUGAAAUCCCUCGGCUUAACCGGGGAACUGCAUCUGAUACUGGAUGGCUUGAGUUCGGGAGAGGGAUGCGGAAUUCCAGGUGUAGCGGUGAAAUGCGUAGAUAUCUGGAGGAACACCGGUGGCGAAGGCGGCAUCCUGGACCGACACUGACGCUGAGGAGCGAAAGCGUGGGGAGCGAACAGG
rnacentral:rRNA from 1 species